rnacentral:lncRNA from 1 species
UUUCAAUACACAUUUUUAUCUUCUCAAUUAUCUUUUUAUCUCACAUACAUCAUAUUACAAAAAAUAUUACAGUAAAAAUAUCUCAAAUAAUUUACCAUCCAAACUCACUUGAGUUGUGUAGGAUACCAUACAUCAUUCCCUUCUGCACGCAGAGGUCAGGAUAGAAGCCCUUGACCAUAGAGACAGUUACAGUUGUUUCAUAAACAUUUGACCAGCAACUCUUAGUUAAACUGAAAAUCAAGGCAUGUGGUCAGAUUCAACUAAUUCCCACUUUCAACGUAACAAAAGAACAUCAAACAACACGAAAAUAAAAAAAAAAAUAAAAAUGUUUGUGAUGCUAACAAGGAACCUGGAUGCUCUUCUUGAAUGUCAAAAAUGCUGAGCUAAACCAUCAGUUUCUACGUCAACUUUUGAUCUUUGAAGAGCCUGUUUUUCAUCCGGUGCAAGCACCAUUUGCACCUUCCUUACAAUUGCCCCCUUGGCCCUCUUCCUCAUGUUGUAACCAAAAGAAAGAAAAAAAAAA